rnacentral:rRNA from 1 species
CAAUAGCGCAUAUUUAAGUUGUUGCAGUUAAAAAGCUCGUAGUUGGAUUUCGGGUGGGACGCAGCGGUCUCGCAUUGCGUUUGUACUGCUGCAGCCCUCCUUCUUGCCGGGGGCGGCCUCUCGGACUUCACUGUCUGGGGGUCAGAAUCGGCGAUGUUACUUUGAGUAAAUUAGAGUGUUCAAAGCAAGCUUACGCUCUGAAUAUAAUAGCAUGGGAUAACACGACAGGACUCUGGCCUAUCGUGUUGGUCUAUAGGACCAGAGUAAUGAUUAAGAGGGACAGUCGGGGGCAUUCGUAUUCCGUUGUCAGAGGUGAAAUUCUUGGAUUUACGGAAGACGAACAUCUGCGAAAGCAUUUGCCAAGGAUGUUUNCAUUG